rnacentral:rRNA from 1 species
GACGAACGCUGGCGGCGUGCUUAACACAUGCAAGUCGAACGGACAGGCCCGGCUUUUGCGGGCGGGUCAAUUACCGAACGGUUUAGUAACACUGGUUUAACAUACCCUUGGCUAUCUGAUAACUUCAGCGAACUGUUGCUAAUACCUGAUAGUAUCUCGUCCUACGUGGUGUGCGUUUACGAUUUUCGGCUGGUUGGGAUGGUCUCUCGGCUUAUCAGCUUUUUGGUGGGGUAGUGGGUUACCAAGGCUUCGACGGGUAGCCGACCUGGGAGGGUGACAGGCGCAACUGGGACUGAGCUGCGGCCCAGACUACUACGGGACGCAGCAGUGGGGAAUAUUGCACAAUGGGCGGAAGCCUGAUGUAGCAAAGCCGCGUGGGGGAUGACGUGAUUCGGGUUGGAAACCGAUUUCGCCUGGGACGAAGCGUGAGUGACGGUAAUGGGUAAAGAAGCACCGGCUAACUACGUG